rnacentral:rRNA from 1 species
UGCAUUCAGCGGAAUGCUUGGUCGACGUUUUUUCGCCGCUUGGCUGUCGCCCUUCGCGGGGUUAUGGUCGGCGCGCGGGACGACAUCGGUUCGGCCUUGCUGCCCCGUGCAUUUGCAAGUGGAGUGCGCCGAGGCGCGCUGAUCAGUGGCUGGAGGAAUAUGCUUUGAGGUUAUUCGCUUUCGGGCGGGUAAACCCCGAGUUGUUGUUUUUAUUUUUUUAAGGCUAUUUGAUUGGCGUGAGGUGUCGUUUUUUUUAGCCAACGUGGAGUUAAACACGGACCAUCGCCGAAGCGGCCCUAAUGUCUUAUGGCGGUCGCAUGCGACACGUAUUCGUUCAUUGAGCUUUUUUGGCGGCGGUUCACACGGUUUUGGUGAACCUCGGCGUAAAAGUCGGUCAUCUAUUCGACCCGUCUUGAAACACGGACCAAGGAGUUUAGCGUUUGCGCGAGUCAUUAAGUGUUAAAAACUUAUUAGGCGCAAUUAAAGUGAUUAACGGGCUUUAUUGUUUUCGUUAUAUAUGCGAUCGGUGGGGUUUCGGCCUUGCCGCGCAGCAUAGCCCCGCCUUGUUUGCUUGCAAAGAGGCGGAGGAAGAGCGUAAACGCUGAGACCCGAAAGAUGGUGAACUAUGCCUGAGCAGGAUGAAGCCAGAGGAAACUCUGGUGGAAGUCCGAAGCGGUUCUGACGUGCAAAUCGAUCGUCUGACUUGGGUAUAGGGGCGAAAGACUAAUCGAACCAUCUAGUACGGUUUCCCUCUCCAGAAAUUUUC